rnacentral:rRNA from 1 species
GCCAGACUCCUACGGGAGGCAGCAGUGGGGAAUAUUGCACAAUGGGGGAAACCCUGAUGCAGCGACGCCGCGUGAGUGAAGAAGUAUUUCGGUAUGUAAAGCUCUAUCAGCAGGGAAGAAAAUGACGGUACCUGACUAAGAAGCUCCGGCUAAAUACGUGCCAGCAGCCGCGGUAAUACGUAUGGAGCAAGCGUUAUCCGGAAUUACUGGGUGUAAAGGGAGCGUAGACGGAUGUGCAGGUCUGAUGUGAAAGGCGGGGGCUCAACCCCUGGACUGCAUUGGAAACUGUAAAUCUUGAGUGCCGGAGAGGUAAGCGGAAUUCCUAGUGUAGCGGUGAAAUGCGUAGAUAUUAGGAGGAACACCAGUGGCGAAGGCGGCUUACUGGACGGUAACUGACGUUGAGGCUCGAAAGCGUGGGGAGCAAACAGGAUUAGAUACCCUGGUA